GAACAGCACCAGAUUAAAUAACCAUAUUAAUUCAAAUUACAGAAGAGCUAGUACACACAUAAAACUUGUUUGUUUCAUUGUCUCUGGUUGUCAAACGUCACUGUGUGUUUGUAGAUCGCACACAUACAAACGACACUCCACAGAAGAGAUAGUACACACAUAAAACUUGUUUGUUUCAUUGUCUUUGGUUGUCAAACGUCACUGUGUGUCUGUAGAUCGCACACAUACAAACGACACUCCA
rnacentral:lncRNA from 1 species